rnacentral:rRNA from 1 species
GUUGUAUAGUCAAGUAAUUAAGUGCAUGUGGUGGAUGCUUGGCAGUCAGAGGCGAUGAAAGACGUGAUAGCCUGCGAAAAGCUCCGGGGAGGCGGCAAAUAUCCUUUGAUCCGGAGAUGUCUGAAUGGGGGAACCCACCUACUUUAAGGUAGGUAUUGCAACAUGAAUACAUAGUGUUGCAAGGCGAACGAGGGGAAGUGAAACAUCUCAGUACCCUUAGGAAAAGAAAUCAAUUGAGAUUCCCUCAGUAGCGGCGAGCGAACGGGGAUCAGCCCAUUAAGUUAUGUGUGUUUUAGUGGAACGCUCUGGGAAGUGCGAACGUAGAGGGUGAUAUUCCCGUACACGAAAGGGCACACAUAAUGAUGACGAGUAGGGCGAGGCACGUGAAACCUUGUCUGAAUAUGGGGGGGACCAUCCUCCAAGGCUAAAUACUCCUGACUGACCGAUAGUGAACCAGUACCGUGAGGGAAAGGCGAAAAGAACCCUGUGAGGGGAGUGAAAUAGAUCCUGAAACCGCAUGCAUACAAGCAGUGGGAGCACCUUCGUGGUGUGACUGCGUACCUUUUGUAUAAUGGGUCAGCGACUUAUAUUCAGUAGCAAGGUUAACCGUAUAGGGGAGCCGUAGAGAAAUCGAGUCUUAAUAGGGCGUUUAGUUGCUGGGUAUAGACCCGAAACCAGGCGAUCUAUCCAUGAGCAGGUUGAAGGUUGGGUAACACUAACUGGAGGACCGAACCCACUGUCGUUGAAAAGCCAGGGGAUGACUUGUGGAUAGGGGUGAAAGGCUAAUCAAGCCUGGUGAUAGCUGGUUCUCCCCGAAAGCUAUUUAGGUAGCGCCUCGGACGAAUACCAUAGGGGGUAGAGCACUGUUUCGGCUAGGGGGUCAUCCCGACUUACCAAACCGAUGCAAACUCCGAAUACCUAUGAGUACUAUCCGGGAGACAGACUGCGGGUGCUAACGUCCGUAGUCAAGAGGAAAACAAUCCAGACCGCCAGCUAAGGCCCCAAAAUCAUAGUUAAGUGGGAAACGAUGUGGGAAGGCAUAGACAGCUAGGAGGUUGGCUUAGAAGCAGCCACCCUUUAAAGAAAGCGUAAUAGCUCACUAGUCGAGUCGGCCUGCGCGGAAGAUGUAACGGGGCUAAAACUAUGUGCCGAAGCUGCGGAUGUAUACUUUGUAUACGUGGUAGGGGAGCGUUCUGUAAGCCGAUGAAGGUGUGUUGAGAAGCAUGCUGGAGGUAUCAGAAGUGCGAAUGCUGACGUGAGUAACGACAAAACGGGUGAAAAACCCGUUCGCCGAAAGACCAAGGGUUCCAGUCCAACGUUAAUCGGGGCUGGGUGAGUCGACCCCUAAGGCGAGGCCGAAAGGCGUAGUCGAUGGGAAAAUGGUUAAUAUUCCAUUACUUCUGUGUAAUGCGAUGAGAGGACGGAGAAGGCUAAAUCAGCCUGGCGUUGGUUGUCCAGGUGAAAGGAUGUAGGCAUGUAUCUUAGGCAAAUCCGGGGUACUCUAUGCUGAGAUCUGAUAGCAAGCUGUACUUGUACAGCGAAGUGGUUGAUGCCAUGCUUCCAGGAAAAGUCUCUAAGCUUCAGUUACACAGGAAUCGUACCCGAAACCGACACAGGUGGUCAGGUCGAGUAGACCAAGGCGCUUGAGAGAACUCUGCUGAAGGAACUAGGCAAAAUGGUACCGUAACUUCGGGAGAAGGUACGCUGUUGUUGGUGAUGGAACUCGCUUCCUGAGCUGACGACAGCCGCAGAAACCAGGCCGCUGCAACUGUUUAUUAAAAACAUAGCACUCUGCAAACACGAAAGUGGACGUAUAGGGUGUGAUGCCUGCCCGGUGCUGGAAGGUUAAUUGAUGGGGUUAGCGUAAGCGAAGCUCUUGAUCGAAGCCCCAGUAAACGGCGGCCGUAACUAUAACGGUCCUAAGGUAGCGAAAUUCCUUGUCGGGUAAGUUCCGACCUGCACGAAUGGCAUAAUGAUGGCGGCGCUGUCUCCAGCAGAGGCUCAGUGAAAUCGAAAUCGCUGUGAAGAUGCAGUGUACCCGCGGCUAGACGGAAAGACCCCGUGAACCUUUACUGCAGCUUGACACUGAACUUUGACCUUACUUGUGUAGGAUAGGUGGGAGGCUUUGAAGCUGGAACGCUAGUUCCAGUGGAGCCGUCCUUGAAAUACCACCCUGGUAAUGUUGAGGUUCUAACUCUGUCCCGUGAUCCGGGACGAGGACCGUGUCUGGUGGGUAGUUUGACUGGGGCGGUCUCCUCCUAAAGAGUAACGGAGGAGUACGAAGGUGCGCUCAGCGUGGUCGGAAAUCACGCGUAGAGUAUAAAGGCAAAAGCGCGCUUAACUGCGAGACCCACAAGUCGAGCAGGUACGAAAGUAGGUCUUAGUGAUCCGGUGGUUCUGUAUGGAAGGGCCAUCGCUCAACGGAUAAAAGGUACUCUGGGGAUAACAGGCUGAUACCGCCCAAGAGUUCAUAUCGACGGCGGUGUUUGGCACCUCGAUGUCGGCUCAUCUCAUCCUGGGGCUGAAGCAGGUCCCAAGGGUAUGGCUGUUCGCCAUUUAAAGAGGUACGCGAGCUGGGUUUAGAACGUCGUGAGACAGUUCGGUCCCUAUCUACCGUGGGCGCUGGAAAUUUGAGAGGAUCUGCUCCUAGUACGAGAGGACCAGAGUGGACGAACCUCUGGUGUACCGGUUGUGACGCCAGUCGCAUCGCCGGGUAGCUAUGUUCGGAAGGGAUAACCGCUGAAAGCAUCUAAGCGGGAAGCCUACCUCAAGAUAAGAUUUCCCUAGGACUUUAUGUCCUCUAAAGAGCCGUUCGAGACUAGGACGUUGAUAGGUUGGAUGUGGAAGCAUAGUGAUAUGUGAAGCUGACCAAUACUAAUUGCUCGUGAGGCUUGACUAUACAACACCCAAGCAGUUG